AACUGUGAAUGAUGAUUUUUGUUUAAAACAAUGGGAAUCUCUCUGAAAAAGAGUGAAAGAUAACAGUUUUCCUGAUGCAGUG
rnacentral:snoRNA from 1 species